rnacentral:rRNA from 1 species
CCUACGGGGUGCAGCAGUCGAGAAUCAUUCACAAUGGGGGAAACCCUGAUGGUGCGACGCCGCGUGGGGGAAUGAAGGUCUUCGGAUUGUAAACCCCUGUCAUGUGGGAGCAAAUUAAAAAGAUAGUACCACACGAGGAAGAGACGGCUAACUCUGUGCCAGCAGCCGCGGUAAUACAGAGGUCUCAAGCGUUGUUCGGAAUCACUGGGCGUAAAGCGUGCGUAGGCUGUUUCGUAAGUCGGGUGUGAAAGGCGCGGGCUCAACCCGCGGACGGCACAUGAUACUGCGAGACUAGAGUAAUGGAGGGGGAACCGGAAUUCGAGGUGUAGCAGUGAAAUGCGUAGAUAUCGAGAGGAACACUCGUGGCGAAGGCGGGUUCCUGGACAUUAACUGACGCUGAGGCACGAAGGCCAGGGGAGCGAAAGGGAUUAGAUACCCUAGUAGUC